rnacentral:lncRNA from 1 species
UGUGACAUGAAUAUGAGAACUCUUCGUUGAUCGUGUUCAGUGAACUCAUUCUUUAUUGAGCACCUACGUACUUGUCUUGAUGUCACACACACCAAUGACUCGAGACUAGUCACUCUCCCUGAGAGAAUACACAGCACGUACUGAUCUUAACGGACUGUCAAUGCCCAAUUGGCAAUCCUAUGAUCAGGAACGUUUAGGAUGUGUCUACGAAAGAAUGGUCUCAUAAAUCUAACUUCUUUAGAUCGCAUUCUCCCAAUCACAUAUUCCUUGGACUUAUCGUUUAAGCAUAUAACAUUUAUAUGAGACGGCUCAAACAAUAAUCUUUGCCCUUUAUAAAUUUAAACUAGAUUAGUUUAACAUGUGAAAUGUCCGUAAAGUAUCAUCAUAUGAUUGGUUUUAGGGCACAUUUCCAACAAGACAAUAUGAUUGUCAAUUAGAAGAUCUUCCAAAAUUUUCAUGACCCCAUAGGAUGUAGUUGGAAAGAAAGACAAAUCUUAAUAAUGUUAAGAUUUGGGGUUGUGUGCUAAUAAGCAAUAUUUGUUUAAAGAAUUAUCUUGUGGGUAUCCUUAAAUUAACAUUUGGAUAUCACUUCUAUAAACCAACUAACAUAUGUUGUUUGUUGGGUAGUUCAUUGUAAUCCUACAAUAUGAUUUGCCUGCCUAACGUAAAUGAACAAGAGAUAGAACUCAAAGAAUGGGUUCUUUGAGAGACAAGAUGAUAAUCAACAAAUAUAACAACCUAGUUCCUACAACACAAGCUCCAAGGUAGUCGAGAAGGAUUUAUAAACUGUCUCAGUUGAAUGGUUUGAACUUUAUGACUAUGUCAUAGAGUUACACCUCUUAAUUCGAAAGAAAUAAGAAUGAAAAUCCUUAUGACUACAUUAAGUGUAUAUACGACAUAUACUCAAGGAAAUGGUAAAGUACCAUUUGACCCGAAAUAAUGAAACUUUUAUAGCUAAUUGGUAGCUUAAGGUGACUACAAUUAAAGAGAUUGGUUGACUUGGAAGAAACCAUCUUUGACGUAGUCUUGGUUUCAAUUAAUUCUAAGAUUGCUAGCUACAACUAAAUGGUGAUUCAAUGUUUGGACAUAAUAUGGGUUUCCGAAACCAUUAUUAAGAUAGUCUUGAUAAUAUAUGUCUAAAACUAUGAAUCACAAGACAUGUAAGUUGUAGAGAUCCAUCCAUCAUGGAUCUUAGCAAGCUAGUGGGAGCUAUAAACGUCUUAUGAGACAAAGAUCAAAUCGUUUGAUUUCUCAUAAAGAUGUAAAUGAAUCUUUUGUUUACUAGGUUUACAAAAGAUUAGUGGGAGUUAAUCAUGUUCCUAAAUUUGAAUAUAUAUAUACAAAUAUAUGAUAUAUUAAUUUUGGAAAUGAAAAAGAAUACUUCUUCGUUAAAGUUAUGACUUUAAACAUUCUAUAACGAUAGAAUGUAUAUGGGAGACAUAGUCUAUAAACAUGGGAUGUAAAUCUAUAAUGAUAGAUUUCAGGAUAUAAUUGGAUUAUAUCAAGCCCUAAUGAUAGACAAAAGAUGCUAGGAAGUUUCUCAUAUGAUGAUAAACUUCAAUUAGAAGAACAACUCUAGUAAGACUAGGAGGUAGCUCUUCUCAAAGGGAACAUACCCUUUGACUCCCAAAGAAAUAAUGCGUAAAUAGAAUCCUUUAUACAUACGCAGAAAAGUGAUUUACGUAUUUCAUAUUGUAUGAAAACAUUGAUAUGAGUUGUACCUAGAACGGUACAAAACGAUAUCAAUGCAAGCCCAGGAUCAGAACCAUGGCAACUGUUAAGUGAGUCCUUAAGUAUUUAAGAAAUAAUAAAGGAUAGAUUCCUCAAAGAAUGAGGAAGAAUUAGAGUAACGUAAUGGAAGCGUAAAUGUAUUAGAUUAU